rnacentral:lncRNA from 1 species
GCACAUUUAUGAUUUUUUUCAUUCCCAUUCUGUUUUAGAAUUCGUAUGGAGUUGUAGAAUGCUACUUACCUCCUCCAUUUUUCUUUUGUCUGCUGUAAUCUCAUUUUCUAAACUGGGUGUGCCUGUGUUCACAUUGCAGGCAUCGCCAUUCUGGCUUUGAAUCAAAAAAAAAAAAAAAAAAAAGGAGUGUGAUUUAAUUCAAAGGAUUGAAUUGCCAGUUGUAAAUGGAAAUCAAGACGCACAUGCAUUUUUCUCUAUAAAUAGAUGAUUGGCACCGAGUGUGUGUUUUCAGUGUCAAGACACGGGUAAUGUAUAUGAUUGGUGGUGAAAAUAUAUACUGCUGUGGGCGUGGCGCCAGAACCCUGUCUGUGGUCCUUGCCAACUCCUUUCGAGGAGCAUAGCCUCGUGAAGCUGCCUUGCUCCGCUUAAUGGCUUUUGUGAGCUACCAUCCUGGAGUCUCCCAAUAGUGAGAAAUUAACUGCUCCCUAUCUAGAAACUCAGGCUUUAUUCUUGAUUAUAAUGUAAAUUAUUAUAUUAUACUAUACAACAUAAAAAGCUGGGGUGACAGUAUAGUAUGAUCCAAAUGAUACUAGGAGAAAAAAAAAAGUCUACACUGUAAUAAUUCAGGUUAGGCUCAUUGUACAACCUCACCAUUGGCUUGCUAAUGAAAUACCAGCUGUGCUACGGAUAAGAUAUUCAUCGUUAAGACUUGUGAUAAUAUACAUUAUUCUAUGAGGUGAUUACACAUCCAAAGCAUAUACCAAAAAGUUAUUCUUUUAUGUAAUAUAUCAUAUUUUAAAAUUAUUGCUUCACAUUUUAAAUUACUUUGCCAUUGUACUUUUGACAAAUAGGAUUGCUGUAGGACCUUUUAAUGAGUGUGGCAUUAAGGACUUUCUGUUUUAGGCUUUAGUAUAAAGUAUAAGACUCUCUAAUGAGGCUACCAAAGUAAUCAUAAAAUAUCAUCUCAAAGAAUGACACUUAUAUAUGAAGUUACCAUGAAGAAACCCAGUACCUUGCACGUUGAACUUGGAAAAGUAGUAAAAUAAUAAAGAGCACAUGAGGCCAUGUUGGCGCACGCCUUUAAUCCCAGCACUUGGGAGGCAGAGGCAGGCAGAUCUCUGAGUUCAGGCCAGCCUGGUCUACAGAGUGAGUUCUGUUUGGAGAGGGCUAUCUCAAAAACCAACCACCAACCAAAUAAAUAAAUAUAGUGCACCUAUACUCUCAGUCUCUGUUCUUUCUUUGAUGCAUGAACUAUAUGUUGAAAUAUCAGUACUUGUCUAUAUUUUCUUAAAAUGUUCUUGUUACCUUAGAGUGUGUGUAUGUGUGUAUGCUUGUGUUCAUGUGUUCAUGUAACUACCCCAAGUUGUUUUCUGCCCUCCACAAUGCAUAUACAGAAAGUGGAGGACAACUUGGGUAAUAAACUUUCUCCAUCUGGUGUGCAAUCCCUGGAGGCUCAAAUCAACAGGCUUGACAGUAGGCAACUUUACUCAUGUCUAUGGUCAUUUUCCUGUAUUUACCUGUAUCUGCCACUGACAUAUACAAUGACUCCCUGCCCUGUAGAGUAGUGAGUUCAGCUUUAUGGCUAAGCUUAUUGUGAUCUGUUGUACAAUCUAUUAGAUUCUAAUAGUGAAUUGGAUGAGGCAAGAGUAAAUCCAGGAAUUAAUUCAUAUAUAUAUAAACAUAUAUAUAUAUAUACAUAUAUAUACAUAUAUACACAUAUAUGUAUACACACACACACACAUAUACACACUCACACACACACAUAUUAUCAGUAACUAUCAGCUAAAGUUGAAACACCCUAUGACCACUUGCAAAACUCAAAUACUUAUAGUCUAAUUUUAAUUCAUGCACAUAGGGAUGUAUAUACUGGAGGAACAAGGUACUAAAUCUAGUGAUUCAGUCCCUUACAGUGUGAAAGCAGCUAACUGAAGAGCUGCUUGACCACUAAUAUGUUAAGGCAGGCUGUAGAGAGAGCAGUGGUUCUAAGAGCUUUUGCUCUAGGAAAGCAUUUUUGCCUUUGGUUCAAUUUUUGAGUGCCCUUGAAGAACCUUUCCUACCAUUUGUUCAAUUUGUUUCUAUUAACUGUUUGGUUCAUCUAAAACCCUUGUUCUGAAUAUAUACAUAGAAACACUUUCUAAACUUUUUUUAAAAAAUGUAUCAUUUUAAGUUAUUCUACAUGUGGGGAGAUUACAGAGAUAAUGCCAUCUGUAGUAAUCGAGUAAAUGAAUUUUCUCAAAAAUAAUUGAUGGUUCUGUGUAGCAAAGUCUUGUGAACCAGUUGGUUUUUCUCUUGAUGUGAAAUCUUUAUUGAAAGUCUUCUGGAAUAAGCUUUAUCGUCUGGAGACCUCUGGCUCUCUCUCCACAGAGCCGGGAUCACAGGCCAUCUGCCACUCCGUCUGCCUUUUUUAUGGUGUCAGGACUCCAACUCUAGUCUUCAGGCUUACACAGCAAGCAUUUUAUCUACUGUAGCAUCUACUGAGCCCAAGAAGAGACUUUUUCC